rnacentral:rRNA from 1 species
GACGAACGCUGGCGGCGUGCCUAACACAUGCAAGUCGAACGGAAACGCCGUGCUUUUUUGCGGUGCUCGGGUGGCGAACGGGUGAGUAACACGUGAGUAACCUGCCCUUCACUUUGGGGUAACUUCAGGAAACUGGGGCUAAUCCCGGAUAGGAUCUCCUGCUGCAUGGUGGGGGUUGGAAAGUUUCGGCGGUUGGGGAUGGACUGGCGGCUAACCGGCUUGUUGGUUGGGUAGUGGCUUACCAAGGCUUAGACGGGUAGGCGGCCUGGGAGGGUGACCGGCCACAAGAGGCCUGAGAUACGGAGCAGUCUCGUACAGUAGGCAACGGUGGGGAGUAUGGUACAAUGGGAGCGAGCCUGAUGAAGAAGCGCCGGGUGCGGGAAGCCGGCUUGCGGGGAGAGAACCGCUGCAGCUUGAGACGAAGCGUGAGUGACGGUACCGGGAGAAGAAGCACCGGCUAACUACGUG